rnacentral:lncRNA from 1 species
AGUUCCCAGAAUUCUGACACGGAGGCAUGUGCCUAUGAGAUCUUCUUUUCAGGCCUCCAUCCUUCCUGGCCCACCUUUAGUACUGAGGAAUUACAGCAGAAAACAUGAAGAAUUGGUGCUUGCUGACUUGCCUGGGAUUGUAAGUUGUAUCCUGGUACUCUGAGCCUCAUGGAUUUGGGAAGGGAAAUUCUCCCUCAAUGGAACGACUUCCAUCCAAGACUGUUCUGCUCUUCAUCUCCAGAAAGAAGCAAAGGACCUCAAAUCUCAGCAUGUACACCAGUAGGAUCAGGCUGAACAGUUUCAAGCAUUGUGUUUCAGUCCUCAGAGCCACCAUACAAGGGCUGCUGCACACAUUACUUCAUAGCAAUUGUAACUGCAUGCCCAAAAGGUGAGCAAGAUCUGGGCAAUGAACUUCUCAGCAUUAACAAGGGAGAGGCUCAUGCAGGACCAUCCUUAGAUCAAAAUUUAGAGCUCUCAGGUCCUCCAGCUCGAUUUCUGCCUGCACACUGCCAUGCUCCCCACCAUGAUGAUAAUGGACUAAACUUCUGCACUGUAAACCAGCCUCAAUAAAAUUUUUCUUUCUAAGA